rnacentral:rRNA from 1 species
AACGUAGGAGACAAACGUUAUCCGGAUUUACUGGGCGUAAAGAGCGCGCAGGCGGUCGUGCAAGUCGCGUGUGAAAGCCCCCGGCUCAACUGGGGAGGGUCACGCGAUACUGAUCGACUCGAAGGCAGGAGAGGGUAGUGGAAUUCCCGGUGUAGUGGUGAAAUGCGUAGAGAUGUGGAGGAACACCGAUGGCGAAGGCAGCCCCCUGGGUCGAAGACUGACGCUCAUGCACGAAAGCGUGGGGAGCAAACAGG